GUAAGUUUUUUAAAAAGUCCCUUCCGAUUGCUUGGCACUCGCGAACACCGCGAUCACUUCCAAUAUCGAUCCGCGGAGUUAGCCAGUGUCAACCAAAUGGAUGUUUGAGACUUGUCAUUCUUAAA
rnacentral:precursor_RNA from 14 species